UUCUGUUCUUCAAGCUUUAUAAAAACCUCUUUACAAUCUUCAAUGGAGCAAUCAAUUAGGAGACAUGUAUUCUGGGAAAGCUCCAACUAUACCAAAAGUUGGAUUGGCAACUUCAAUCAGCUUCAAUGUACCAAGUUUCGUGGUGGGAAUUGGAUGGUCAUUGGCAGCACAAGAUGGUUUACAUGAAGACCAAUAUUUGGCGGAGAGAUCAAGAAAGAAAGGCAAACAAGUUGAAGUUUCUGGGGCCAGUAGUACUAA